rnacentral:rRNA from 1 species
AUUGAACGCUGGCGGCAGGCCUAACACAUGCAAGUCGAGCGGAUGAAGGGAGCUUGCUCCUGGAUUCAGCGGCGGACGGGUGAGUAAUGCCUAGGAAUCUGCCUGGUAGUGGGGGAUAACGUCCGGAAACGGGCGCUAAUACCGCAUACGUCCUGAGGGAGAAAGUGGGGGAUCUUCGGACCUCACGCUAUCAGAUGAGCCUAGGUCGGAUUAGCUAGUUGGUGGGGUAAAGGCCUACCAAGGCGACGAUCCGUAACUGGUCUGAGAGGAUGAUCAGUCACACUGGAACUGGGCCACGGUCCAGACUCCUACGGGAGGCAGCAGUGGGGAAUGUUGGGCAGUGGGCGAAAGCCUGAUCCAGCCAUGCCGCGUGUGUGAAGAAGGCCUUCGGAUUGUAAAGCACUUUAAGUUGGGAGGAAGGGCAGUAAGUUAAUACCUUGCUGUUUUGACGUUACCAACAGAAUAAGCACCGGCUAACUUCGUG